UACGUAGGGGGGCAAGCGUUUGUCCGGAUUUAUUGGGCGUAAAGAGCGUGUAGGCGGCUAGGUAGGUGGGUUGUGAAAACUGGAGGCUCAACCUUCAGACGUCGACCCAAACCCCCUGGCUAGAGUCCGGAAGAGGAGAGUGGAAUUCCUGGUGUAGCGGUGAAAUGCGCAGAUAUCAGGAAGAACACCCGUGGCGAAGGCGGCUCUCUGGGACGGUACUGACGCUGAGACGACGAAAGCGUGGGGAGCGAACAGG
rnacentral:rRNA from 1 species